UACGAAGGGUGCAAACGUUGCUCGGAAUUAUUGGGCGUAAAGGGCGCGUAGGCGGCAUGGCAAGUGGAUGGUGAAAUCCCUCGGCUUAACCGAGGAACUGCCGUCCAAACUGCUUCGCUUGAGACCGGGAGAGGUGAGUGGAAUUCCCAGUGUAGCGGUGAAAUGCGUAGAUAUUGGGAGGAACACCAGUGGCGAAGGCGGCUCACUGGACCGGUACUGACGCUGAAGCGCGAAAGCGUGGGGAGCAAACGGG
rnacentral:rRNA from 1 species